AUACGUAGGGAGCGAGCGUUGUCCGGAAUUACUGGGUGUAAAGGGUGCGUAGGCGGGACUGCAAGUCAGAUGUGAAAUGCCGGGGCUCAACCCCGGAGCUGCAUUUGAAACUGUGGUUCUUGAGUGAGGUAGAGGUAAGCGGAAUUCCUAGUGUAGCGGUGAAAUGCGUAGAUAUUAGGAGGAACAUCGGUGGCGAAGGCGGCUUACUGGGCCUGUACUGACGCUGAGGCACGAAAGCGUGGGGAGCAAACAGGAUUAGAUACCCUGGUAGUCCACGCUGUAAACGGUGAUGACUAGGUGUGGGGGGACUGAACCCUUCCGUGCCGCAGUUAACACAAUAAGUCAUCCACCUGGGGAGUACGGCCGCAAGGUUGAAACUCAAAUGAAUUGACGGGG
rnacentral:rRNA from 1 species